rnacentral:rRNA from 1 species
CACCGCGGUUAUACGAGAGGCCCAAGCUGAUAGACACCGGCGUAAAGCGUGGUUAAGAGAGUUCAAAUAAUUAAAGCCGAAUGUUUUCAAAGCUGUUAUACGCAUACGAAAGCUAGAAGCCCAACUACGAAGGUGGCUUUACAGUUUCUGACCCCACGAAAGCUAAGGCA